GAUUUACAUCAAGAACCCACGAAUCUCAGAGAAUGCAUCUGAGAACCUCAAACUUCAGUUUAAGAAAUACCCAUGGAAUAGACCCAUGUUUGGAUUUGGAGUCCAAACCAGCAGGACUUGGAUCCCACUUCUACUCACGUACCACUAUGUGGUCUCUGAAACUUAACCCUAUCGUGCUGAAGUGCUUGCUGGUAAAUUCUCUGUGCUUCUGCAAACCCAGGAAACUUCCAGGGAUUUUGGCCUCCUCGUUGAUUUGGGAAGAUAUUGAUUGUUGAAAAGAAAAAAACAAAAACCAUCCAGCCUCAAAGUUGAAUGUUUGGUGUCAAGCAGAGAACUCAGCCUGUGUUGAGCAGGACUGGAGCCGGAGUCCACGCUGGGCACUGGCACUGUCUCUCUGCAACCAGUCCGAAGGGAAGAGAAAAUGCUCAACUUCAAGAACAAGCCUCCUUUGUGGUAUGCACUUGGAGACCAGGUGCCCAGCAGCAGCCCAGUCCUCUAUGGCAAAUAAGUUGCUCAGAGUUGAAAAACAAAACCAAAGGCCAAUUGAACAUUGCUGAACGUACAUUUUAUGCACUGUCCGGGUCAAUGAUAAGACUCCAUUCUCUGGUACUCACCCACGUGACAGCCUGGGGAGCACUGUAGAUGGGACAAUAACAGGCUGGGGCCGAGGGUCUGGAUUCUGAUGUUGCUUCUUCCACUCACUGGAACAACCUUGGCUGGGCUACCUGGGACGAGCCACGGUCUCUGCUGUUGAUGCUGCGUCCAUCCUGUGGGCAUGGAAGCUGCUUGCCUUGUUAUAAACAUGACGUGGGAGGCAGGAAUGGAGCUUUCAUCCUAGUAUCUGUCUGCCCCUCCAGGGAAGAGGCCACACUUGGUGCUCCAAGAGGAGCCAGACACCCUUCACCCUCCAGGGCUCCCCUCCACCCAGUAGAAAGUCAAGGCCUCUGCGAUUCACAGAGGGGAGGGCUGGCUUGUUUCUGGCCCACAUCAACAACUUAGAUUUUGCAGACCUCGUACCCUUGAGCCCAGGAGGUUAUGAAAGUGUCCUGUGAGGAACAAUCUGGUCUGCUUGCAUAGAGCUCUGAGAUCUACCCAGUAAGGAGGUUUCAAAUGGCUAUCUAAAACUGAUUUUAGAAAGGAGCCGCCCUGGCAGCUAAUGCUAAGUGGGGGUGUCUCUCAAAUGAUAGGGCCUGGGUUCUGCCUCCAAAAGGGACCUGAGGGUUUUAGGCAGUGGUCAGGGGACACUGGGCUAUGUUAUUAGCACAGGGGAUGCUGAGGAGGGUCUCCAGUGCAUGAGAGGGUCCUGAAAAGGCCAUCACUUCCUCACUUCUGUGCUUGCACCUUAGAAGCCAACUAGAGUCUUCUCAGAGCACAAAUGUUUCUACAGUCACCCAAAGACCGCUUCUAGAAGGUUCUGUAAAAUUCUAAGUCCAGGGGAGACCUUCAUCUGAGGCAGCAGAGCAGGCUUGGGAUGGGUCAUAGAAAGAUGAGGACACUGAGGCAGGAGGACUUGGGAGGGGACACACCAUGAAUCAGCAGCAGGGCUGGUUCUGAAACCCAACCUCCUGGUGGAGGCAGCCCCCCCCGGGAGGCUCAACCCUGCACUGAGCUCCCUGAGCACCCACCAGCAGGGGGAGCUCUGCCUCAGGGCAGCGUUCAGCAUCUCCUGGCAGGAGGCACAUCUUCCCUGUGGAGGAAGUGAGUUGAAAGAGCCAUCCCUAAAGGCCCAGGCUGGCAGGCGAGGCCGCACUGUCCUGUAUCUCUGCUCUGCAGCAACUCCCACCCAUCCACCCACUGCUAGCUCCUCCUGGGUCCUUGGGACCUCUGAAAAUGAUUCCAUCCAAUAGGAGGGCAUGAGUUCCUCCCAAAACAUGUGCAUAAGUUUCCUCAUCUUAGUUGGGACAAUGACAGGGACAAUGACCUGUUCUAAUACCUGUCAGGGACUGUGCCGGCAGAGUGGCUCCCAGUAGGGAGAGGUGGAACCAGAGUGCAGGUGGGUGGGCUUUUUAACCAGAGAAAUGUGUCUAUUGACCUUUGCAGACAUUUAUUGAGCACCUACUAAGUGCCAGAGGAUGGACAGUCAUGAUCCCAGAUAUCUAAUCGGGGACACGGAGUCCAACUUUCCUUCUGAAUGUCAGCUGCCCAAUCCUGGGCUUUGUGCUGCUUCUCUUUCUUCCUCACUCUUUUUUCUUUCUUCCUUAAGCCACCAACAAAACUCUGACCUCUCCCCGCACACACAAUGCAGGCAGUCACUCAUGCAUUAACAACCACUGGGCCCCAAAGGUCGUUUCUAUGACAACCCCGGGGUCCUUAAUGACCCUGGCAGGCCAAUGAUUUUGUUUUGUUUGAGAGUGAAGGAAUAAUAAGUCAGGCCGGCUUGCUCAGGCGCUGGCCCCUCUCCCCCUCGCCCCCUCCUCUCUGCACUGAUAUACUGUUCAUUAUCUGCUGUUGCAUCAGCCCCAGAGACGGGGCGGCAGCCAGCUCUGAAAGACAAGAGCCUGGCUGCAGACAAAGAGCUGCAAAGGACCAGAGUGUGCCCUGCAUCCAGGGCCGCCUGGGCUUCAUCAAUGCCUUCGCGGGUAGGGAAGUGCAAGCAAGGACCCUGAGGUCCCCAGCUCCUGGGGCCCUGUGGCACCUAGAUGAACCCCCAAAUCACUAUGCAGUUCUUUAGAAAAGCAUCAUGUGACGAGCCCUGUUGGGAGACCUCCCUACCCAGGAUGUGUGCCCGACUGGCAGCCAGGCAGCGCGGCUCCCGAAGGCAAGACCUAUCAUUUUAAUGAUGGGAUGAACAAGCAAUUAAUGUGAGCCCACCAGCCUCCAUAUGGAUCAUCAGUAACUGGGGAGGCUGGGCCGAUGGCGCAGACAAAGGCAGGAACAGGGCGGCCCAGCUGAUCCCCCGUCCUGGCCUCCGGUGGAGCCCUGCCCUCUCGGUUCUCCAGUUUGGUUCUCUGGUUCUAGGCGGAGAAACGUCCUGGGGAGGAAGCUUUCAUUGUCUUCUGAUCUUGGGGCCAACGGGCCUCUAGCUUGUCACAUUAAUUUUCAAACGUGGCGUUUGGCAGCCUGGGAUUUUACUAGCAGACACUUGGAAUUAUUUUUGUUGUGUGUGCAGCGCUAAAAUCCCCUAGAAUAAGUCAUUAUCCUCAAAAAAAAAAAAAAAAAUCAGCUCCUACUGGCUGCCUGGUGGCCCAA